rnacentral:lncRNA from 1 species
AAAAGAAACCAAUCGACAACACAAGGCGCCAAGAAAGCGCAAGAGGGCAAAAGCCCUUCAAGAAAAGAGCAAAAUUUCAAACUUUGAGAAGAGGACACGGGCUUAAAGGAUCUAAGGGGUUUCUCUUUGGUGUCAUGCAGAGAGAGAGAGAGAGAGAGAGAGCAACGAGACCGGAACAAGAACGUCGAGGAAGCAGCAAAAAGCUGUGUCCUUUCUGGGGGAAGCCGAGCGGAAAGGGUAGAUUUUU